UACGAAGGGGGCUAGCGUUGCUCGGAAUCACUGGGCGUAAAGGGUGCGUAGGCGGGUCUUUAAGUCAGGGGUGAAAUCCUGGAGCUCAACUCCAGAACUGCCUUUGAUACUGAGGAUCUUGAGUUCGGGAGAGGUGAGUGGAACUGCGAGUGUAGGGGUGAAAUUCGUAGAUAUUCGCAAGAACACCAGUGGCGAAGGCGGCUCACUGGCCCGAUACUGACGCUGAGGCACGAAAGCGUGGGGAGCGAACAGG
rnacentral:rRNA from 1 species